rnacentral:lncRNA from 9 species
AUUUUGUAAAAAACAGUACUGAGUACACUGGACUGACCAUCAGAUAUUUUUCCUCUCACUAUAUCCUUUGUCUUCUUUGUCUUUUGUUGUUGUUGUUGUUUUGAUUGCAGUAUAUAUCCAACCUGCCCCCUGUGAGGACUACCCGCCUCCCACCUCCCAGCGAGCACAUCCUCCUAGCGGCUUCCCAGAAGGUCCACAGAGGAACCUAGGGAGAGCCCAUCCUUCCUCCCCCACCGCAAGAGGGGGAAGCAGCAGCUGCACCAUCCCCAUGACAAGCCAGACGGUAGACAAACACUGGUGGAAGCUCUGUCAGGGGAACGGUGACUCUCCAGCCAGCUUCAUGUGGGACAUCAGGAGGACAGAUUUUCUCAGGUGAUUUUCUCAUUCAUUCUCAUUCCUGCUUGGCUAGAAACAGUACAUAAGCUGUUUGUCUCAAAUGAACGCUCCAGUGGAUAAAACACCAAAAGGGAUUUGGGGAAACAUAACAAAAUGAGAAUUGCCAUACUGGCUUAGACCAACUGUCUGACAAUUGCACCAGGAGACAUUUACAGGAAAGAGUUGUAACUUCCUCCAUAAUCAUGGCCUCGCAAGCUUAGAAGCAACUCCAAAAUGGCCUCUAUUAUCCUAAACUGUACUUAAAGCCACCUUGAGUUUUAUACAAGCAUUUUCAGCUAAUACUGAGUUUAUUAUUUAACCAGCUUUUAUUCCUAUGUUUUGUUCCUCUUGACUGCAACCUUGAUUCACUAUAUAAUCUGGAGCAAGUCCCCAAGCUAAUUCUGUCUUAGUAUCUCCAACUAUAAAAUGGAAAAAUUAUAGUGGCUUCUUGGUGGGGUCACAAAUAAAGGGAAGAGAUUCCCAGAGCUACGUUUUUCUCUGCUGUGAACCCUACAAAGGAAGAAAGGCACUUCAAACCAGACACUUAAUUUCCAUUUUCUGUGCUAAUUCAUAUUACUCCUACAAGACUCAAAUAGUGGUUAAUGAAAGAGAAAAAUAAAAGAGGGAAGGGAACUAGGAAAUAUCUUGGGGUCAGGUUGAAGUGUAAGCCACUGAACCAACAAAAAUGUUUUCCCAUCCACAGCAGAAAGGUCUUGGGACUAGAUUACUCACCCGGAUUAUAAUACUGCAGAAUCUAUG